rnacentral:lncRNA from 1 species
CCAGGCUAGAGUGCAAUGGCUUGAUCUCAGCUCACUGCAACCUCCACCUCCCAGGUUCAAGUGAUCCUCCUGCCUCAGCCUCCCAAGUAGGGUAGCUGGGACUACAGGCGCGUGCAAACAUGCCUGGCUAAUUUUUGUAUUUUCAGUAGAGACGGGGUUUCACCAUGUUGGCUAGGCUGGUCUCGAACUCCAGACCUCAAGAGAUCCGCCCUCCUUGGCCUCCCAAAGUGCUGGGAUUACAGGCAUGAGCCACCAUG